rfam:Triticum aestivum genome assembly, contig: Triticum_aestivum_CS42_TGACv1_scaffold_500512_6BL
AAGUUACUCCCUCCGUUCGGAAUUACUCGUCCAAGAAAUGAAUGUAUCUAGAUGAAUUACAUCCAUUUUUAUCCGUUUUUGUGACAAGUAAUUCCGAACGGAGGGAGUACAUA